UAUAUAUAUAUAUAUAUAUAUAUAUAUAUAUAUAUAUCGGAACUUUGAAUCAAAAUAAUCUGGCUAAAAUGUGUCUGUUACAAAUUUGACAGUUGAAUAAUCAUUUCACACCAGCUGCCUUUAGCGUUACCAUACAACUUUGGUGGCUAUACUCAAUCAAUCAAAAACUGAUUGAUAAAUCGAUAAGGAACAUUAUAAUUGUGGCCUAUAAGUGUCUUAUCUAUCCUCUCUCUGUCUGCAUGUCUCUGUGUACUGUUUCUAAUUAUUCCCGCUUAUCCCUCAUUUACAGUUGUAUCAUUCAUUCAAACUCAGUCACAGGAGCACCAGCAAUUACUCGGAGGAAGCAGUCUGCUGUGGUGGCUUUCAAAGCAAUCAUCAAUCCCAUCCAGCUAUUGAGAUCUUCCAUUGAGUAAUGCUGUUUCUUCCGUUGCACAUCACAUUGGAAGAUCUGAGAGUUGAGAGCCUGACCUUCUUGGGAUACUUUUCUGGGGAAUAAUCUACAUUCACAAUUGUCAUUUAUUACUUGAAUAUUUGUGUAAAUAUGUCCUUGUGUUGAUUCAAACACUAGCAUCACACACAUACAUAUAUGGUUUAUUUGGCUUAUUGAGUUUAGCUGAAUCCAUAGUACAGUACAUCUUCAUUUAUCUAGUCUUAAGUCCACUAAGUAUUUGUAUUUCUUUUUUUCCUUUUACUGUAAACUCAGCCAAACCAAAGUGCUAUGAUAUAGUUUAUCAACUGUGGCAUCUUUGCUGCAAUAGUGUAUUGCAUGAAUGUAUGUGUUUGAUAUUAUUGCUCCAUUUCAUGUCACUUUUCACUUUGCAAUCUGAAAAUGUCAAUGCUUUACCAUUAUGUAGUUUGUUGCUCUUUUUUCCAUUUUCCAUUUUUUGUUUGAUUGUCAUUGUGUUUUUCAUGGUUUUUAUUUGGUAUGGUUUUGACUUGCAUGAGUGACUAAUUUUAAAAUAUUAUUUGCAAAUAAUAUUUUUUGGCAGACGUGUAAAAUAAUAAAAAAUUUAAAUGUCCAAGAUUCUUCUUUCAUGACGAGGGUUAGUUAUUAAGGGUAAUUGUUAUCUGCAACUUAUUUAGACUACAUCGGGCAAACAUUUUUAUUUUAAUGGUAUGGGGAGUUGAUUCUAAUGUAUGGUUUUAAGAUUUAUUAACAUGCUAUAAUACUUUAAUGUAAAUAAACAUUAUCUGAAGAGCUUCUCCUGGUGUCCAUACUUUUAAAAUCAACACAAAUCCUUAAAAUAUUAAAAGUAGCCAAAGUAGCUAAACCUGUCAUAUACCAUUCUGGGGUAGCUAACCCAAUCGUGUGCCGAUGAACUAUGCUUUUUGUGUUUGUAUUUGAUUAUUGGUAUGUCUACCACAUGGGGGCAGUGUUAGAUUUAGUAUGUCAUGUCACCUCUCUCAGAAGCCAUAUUGAAUACAUAAAGAGGUUUAUGCAAAUGAAACUUGCAUUUUAACUCCAAGUUUAUAAAUGGUUGACAUUAUGCAUCUUAAGGAUGCCAUACAGACAAUGCUACAUUCCUACAUUACGUAAUAAAUACUGUACCUCAUCAGUGAUUCACAAUGUUCAUUUAUAUUAUGUUGAUCAGGCCAGGCUAUGUUCUUUGUUUCUGCAAGGACAGAAGUAAGAGUCAAU
ensembl:lncRNA